rnacentral:rRNA from 1 species
CACCAGACUCCUACGGGAGGCAGCAGUGGGGAAUAUUGCACAAUGGGGGAAACCCUGAUGCAGCAACGCCGCGUGAGUGAAGAAGUAUUUCGGUAUGUAAAGCUCUAUCAGCAGGGAAGAAGAAAGACGGUACCUGACUAAGAAGCCCCGGCUAACUACGUGCCAGCAACCGCGGUAAUACGUAGGGGGCAAGCGUUAUCCGAAUUUACUGGGUGUAAAGGGAGCGUAGACGGCGAUGCAAGUCUGAAGUGAAAGGCGGGGGCCCAACCCCCGGACUGCUUUGGAAACUGUAUGGCUGGAGUGCAGGAGAGGUAAGUGGAAUUCCCAGUGUAGCGGUGAAAUGCGUAGAUAUUAGGAGGAACACCAGUGGCGAAGGCGGCUUACUGGACUGUAACUGACGUUGAGGCUCGAAAGCGUGGGGAGCACACAGGAUUAGAUACCCCGGUAA